CCGCAUGCCAUCCCAAGUUCUUCAAUUGUUACACAGGCAGACCCAAUAAGAAAUUUCGGCAGAUAUGAGAUUAACAGAUCCUAAAACUGUAAAAGGUAAGCUUUCAUAAAUAUAGACUACAAGCUAUGCAAAACAACUCCUAUUGCUAAUUGGUUAGGUAAGCUCCUGCAAUGUGUCUUUAAACAGGGUAGCUAGGUCCUAGUGACCACUCUCUGCAAGCUCUGCUUGUCCACUCUUUUGUGUAUUAUUGCUCAAAUGUUGUUCAUCCCUGCCAGACCUAAACUCUUCAUGCCCACCGAAUUCCCCAAGUCUCUCCUUGAGAGAUGCAUUUUCCGCAAGAAGUUGCUCGUAGUCGCUCUUGAUCCGGUUUACUUCUGAUCGCAGAUUGGCAUUUUCUUCUUUUAGGGCUUCAGCACGCUGGGCCAGCUCAUCACAUUCAGCCUGUUUGCGCAAUCUAGAACGGCGAGCUGAUUCUCUGUUUGACUGUUUUCUCCUCUGUCUCUUCAGCUCUCUUUCAUCCUGUAACCAAAUCUGUGAUUGAACAGUAUCCCGAGAUCCAGUAGUAACAAUUCCUCCAGCUACUGGAGUAGCUGGAACCUUCCCACGGAUUGCAGGGAUAGUAGAUGAAGCUGGGGCUCCCCAGUAGUCCAUUCCAAUAUUUAAGUUGGUUGUGGG
rnacentral:misc_RNA from 1 species